GAUAGAAAGUUUUACCCACAUAGUAGGUGGUAGGCAAAAAACUUUCUAAUAACUUUGAGUAUAUAAUGGGUACGAAUGUAUAGUUUUAUUAGUGGGGCGAGUAUGAGGAUUUAUGUGUUGGUUCCACACUCAACUCUCCCAUUAUACUCGGCCAAGGACGUGAACACCUUCCUAUUAUCAUCACCAAUAUUAUUAUCUCUUUGUACAGAAAAUUAUAGAUCCAAACUAUGCUCCUCACCUCACAAAUAAACCAUCAAGUAUCACAAGGCACACAUAUAAGAUACAAAGAUAAGAUAUAUGACAUUUUAAUGCCAAAUAUCUCUUCUGAGCUAGACAAGAAAAAAAUAGAAAUAAAAAGAUUGUUUUCUUUAGCACCUCAAAGUAUGAAAAAUAAAUAUUUGAUUCCUUACCAUACAAACCUUAUCCCACCCUUGCCAGAAAACACUUACCUUGGUACUCUGCCAAAAGUUAAAGCCAUCAUUGUAGUUCUAUCUCCCUAU
rnacentral:lncRNA from 1 species